CCUACGGGGGGCAGCAGUGAGGAAUAUUGGUCAAUGGUCGGGAGACUGAACCAGCCAAGCCGCGUGAGGGAUGAAGGUACAGAGUAUCGUAAACCUCUUUUGUCAGGGAACAAAGGCGGGGACGUGUCCCCGGAUGAGUGUACCUGAAGAAAAAGCAUCGGCUAACUCCGUGCCAGCAGCCGCGGUAAUACGGAGGAUGCGAGCGUUAUCCGGAUUUAUGGGGUUUAAAGGGUGCGCAGGCGGUCUGUUAAGUCAGCGGUCAAAGCCCGGGGCUCAACCCCGGCCCGCCGUUGAAACUGGCAGUCUCGAGUGGGAGAGAAGUAUGCGGAAUGCGCGGUGUAGCGGUGAAAUGCAUAGAUAUCGCGCAGAACUCCGAUUGCGAAGGCAGCAUGCCGGCUCCACACUGACGCUGAGGCACGAAAGCGUGGGGAUCGAACAGGAUUAGAUACCCGUGUAGUC
rnacentral:rRNA from 1 species